AUUUUGUUUAUCCAUCAGAUAGCAAAAUGCUUUACUUUCUCCUGAUUUCCAGUCUGCACCUUUUAUAGCUUCAUUGACUUUGUCGCUGAUGAUGGGGUAACCCGAAACUAGUACGACUUUAUAUAAAUAAACGCAAGUUAGAAGUU